GACCCAGCCACCCCGGAGGAAACCGGAGAGGAAACCAGCUUGGUCUUGCUCUCUGCCUCGUCCCAAUCCCCGGCUCUUACCAAAUGCAGAUCCGUUGGCUGAAUGCCUUUUAGUCUGCAUACAUGCAUCUCAUACCGCACAGCCCAAAUUUCUACAACUUGUCCAGGUGCAGUCUCCUCAGAACUACAAAGCAAGAAAAGAUCACCUUUGGGCUCAGGAACUCACAGUCGUUCUCCCUCUCCCGGAAGGCACAAUGACCAGGACAGUACCGAGCUUUACAGCCAUAUUGAACUCACCAUCAACUCAGCACAUUCAACUCAAUCAGUCAAAAUCGUCUUUUCCUGCUGGUAAAUAACACUGAAAUAUGAGUCUCACUCUGUUGCACAGGCUGGAGUGCAGUGGUGCAAUCUCGGCUCGCUGCAACCUCCGUCUCCCGGAUUCAAGCGAUUCUCCUGCCUCAGCCUCCCGAGUAGCCAGGACUACAGAAACGCACCACCACAUCCAGCUAAUUCUUGUAUUUUUAGUAGAGACGGGGUUU
rnacentral:lncRNA from 10 species